rnacentral:rRNA from 1 species
CACUCCUGCGGGAGGCAGCAGUGGGGAAUAUUGGACAAUGGGCGCAAGCCUGAUCCAGCCAUGCCGCGUGAGUGAUGAAGGCCCUAGGGUUGUAAAGCUCUUUCACCGGUGAAGAUAAUGACGGUAACCGGAGAAGAAGCCCCGGCUAACUUCGUGCCAGCAGCCGCGGUAAUACGAAGGGGGCUAGCGUUGUUCGGAUUUACUGGGCGUAAAGCGCACGUAGGCGGACUAUUAAGUCAGGGGUGUAAUCCCGGGGCUCAACCCCGGAACUGCCUUUGAUACUGGUAGUCUUGAGUUCGAGAGAGGUGAGUGGAAUUCCGAGUGUAGAGGUGAAAUUCGUAGAUAUUCGGAGGAACACCAGUGGCGAAGGCGGCUCACUGGCUCGAUACUGACGCUGAGGUGCGAAAGCGUGGGGAGCAAACAGGAGUAGAUACCCCUGUAGUCCCAUG